AUUGAACGCUGGCGGCAGGCCUAACACAUGCAAGUCGAACGCGUGGCGGACGGGUGAGUAAUGUGUGGAACACUGCCAGAUGGAGGGGGAUAAAUACUGGAAACGGUAGAUAAUACCGCAUACAAUGAGAUGGGCCCAGAUGGGAUUAGCUAGUGGGUGGGGUAAGGGCUCACCUAGGCCACGAUCCUUAGCUGGUCUGAGAGGAUGACCAGCCACACUGGAACUGAGACACGGUCCAGACGCCUACGGGAGGCAGCAGUGGGGAAGAUUGCACAAUGGGCGCAAGCCUGAUGCAGCCAGGCCGCGUGUAUGAAGAAGGCCUUAGGGUUGUAAAGUACUUUCAGGGAGGAGGCGUUACUCACAGAAGAAGCACCGGCUAACUCCGUGCCAGUAGCCGCGGUAAUAC
rnacentral:rRNA from 1 species